rnacentral:rRNA from 1 species
CAGUCGCCGCGGGAAUACGAAGGGUGCAAGCGUUACUCGGAAUUACUGGGCGUAAAGCGUGCGUAGGUGGUGGUUUAAGUCCGUUGUGAAAGCCCUGGGCUCAACCUGGGAAUUGCAGUGGAUACUGGGUCACUAGAGUGUGGUAGAGGAUAGUGGAAUUUCCGGUGUAGCAGUGAAAUGCGUAGAGAUCGGAAGGAACAUCUGUGGCGAAGGCGACCACCUGGACUGAUACUGACACUGAGGUGCGAAAGCGUGGGGAGCAAACAGGAUCAGAUACCCCUGUAGUCCCUGUCUCUUAUAC